rnacentral:rRNA from 1 species
CGCGUAGGUGGCCAAUUAAGUCAAAUGUGAAAUCCCCGAGCUUAACUUGGGAAUUGCAUUCGAUACUGGUUGGCUAGAGUAUGGGAGAGGAUGGUAGAAUUCCAGGUGUAGCGGUGAAAUGCGUAGAGAUCGGGAGGAACACCGAUGGCGAAGGCAGCCAUCUGGACUAAUACUGACACUGAGGUGCGAAAGCCUGGGGAGCAAACAGGAUUAGAUACCCUGGUA